ACUCCUACGGGAGGCAGCAGUGGGGAAUCUUGCGCAAUGGGCGAAAGCCUGACGCAGCCAUGCCGCGUGAAUGAUGAAGGUUUUAGGAUUGUAAAAUUCUUUCACCGGGGACGAUAAUGACGGUACCCGGAGAAGAAGCCCCGGCUAACUUCGUGCCAGCAGCCGCGGUAAUACGAAGGGGGCUAGCGCUGCUCGGAAUUACUGGGCGUAAAGGGCGCGUAGGCGGACAUUUAAGUCAGGGGUGAAAUCCCAGAGCUCAACUCUGGAACUGCCUUUGAUACUGGGUGUCUUGAGUGUGAGAGAGGUAUGUGGAACUCCGAGUGUAGAGGUGAAAUUCGUAGAUAUUCGGAAGAACACCAGUGGCGAAGGCGACAUACUGGCUCAUUACUGACGCUGAGGCGCGAAAGCGUGGGGAGCAAACAGGAUUAGAUACCCUGGUAG
rnacentral:rRNA from 1 species